rnacentral:rRNA from 1 species
AGGACGAACGCUGGCGGCGUGCUUAACACAUGCAAGUCGAGCGGAAAGGCCCUUCGGGGUACUCGAGCGGCGAACGGGUGAGUAACACGUGAGCAACCUGCCCCUAGCUCUGGGGUAGCUCCGGGAAACCGGGAUUAAUACCAGAUACGACCACUUUAGACAUCUUUUGUGGUGGAAAGGAUUCCGGCUAGGGAUGGGCUCGCGGCCUAUCAGCUUGUUGGUGAGGUAACGGCCCACCAAGGCGACGACGGGUA